rnacentral:rRNA from 1 species
AUGGCGAUGCGGGGCGUCGAUUUCAAGUGGUACGACGGCUUCUUCCUCUCCAUGCUCGCCACCAGCGUAAUCAUCGUGUCCAUCAACUGGAGGAGGUACCGCCUCUGCGCCCACCCGCUCCACAUAUGGAUCGUCGUCGACUACACCACCGUCUUCGUCUUCCGCCUCCUCAUGUUCCUCGACAACGGACUCGCCGCAGGGAUGGGGCUGGAUCUUGGAUGGCAACAGAGAUAUACUCGUUUCUGCGGGAGGAUAGUUGUUCUGUCAGUCCUUGUUCUUCUUCUGUACCCCUUCCUGUGGGUUUGGACUGUGAUAGGAACAUUGUGGUUUAACAGUGCAAGGAGCUGUUUGCCGGAGGAAGGACAAAAAUGGGGCUUCCUGAUAUGGCUGCUUUUCAGCUACUGUGGGCUCGCCUGUAUUGCAUGCGUGGCUGUUGGAAAGUGGCUAAACCGAAGGCAUGCACUCCAACUGAGGGCUCAACAGGGAAUUCCAGUCUCUGAAUAUGGGGUUUUGGUUGACAUGAUCCGUGUGCCUGACUGGGCAUUUGAGGCGGUCGGCUUGGAACUGAGAGGAAUGGGCCAGGACACGGCAUACCAUCCUGGCCUUUAUCUCACAGCAGCCCAGAGAGAAGCUGUGGAGGCUCUGAUCCAGGAGCUCCCCAAGUUCAUGCUGAAGGCGGUGCCGACGGACUGCAGCGAGUGCCCGAUCUGCCUGGAGGAGUUCAAGGUGGGCAACGAGGUGCGUGGCCUCCCGUGCGCGCACAACUUCCACGUGGAGUGCAUCGACCAGUGGCUGCGGCUGAACGUCAAGUGCCCGCGCUGCCGCUGCUCCGUGUUCCCCAACCUGGACCUGAGCGCGCUCAACGGCAUCCGCUCCAGCAGCGAGAUGCUGCAGCAGGACCGCCCCUCGGGCAGCAGCGAGGUGGCAGCGACGGCCAGCCGGUACGUGGGGCCGCAGCCAGCGCCGGGGCAGAGCUACCUGGUGCGGCUGCAGGGCCUGCUGCUCCGGCCCGUGGUGGGGCAUCACGACGGCGGUGAUGACGCUGAGGGCGGGCGAGCGGUGGCGGCUGAUGGGGCUGAGGUGGCGGGCGGCGUGGUGGUGGUGGUUGAUGAUGGGCAUGAGCUGCGGGAUCGCUGA